UUUUCUUUCUAUUUGAGUUUGAUUUAGCAUCCUUCUUCACCAUAUGACGACCGUUGGAUAAUCAAACUUACUCGAUUCUUCUUCUCUCAUCUCUAUUUCCUUUUCAACGUUAUUGCAGCCUAUCCUUUACAUUCGACAGCUUCUCUCUUUUCUUCUUCAUUUGGAUUUCAUCGGCCAUCCAUAGGGAAACAUCUACUGCGACGUAUUCGAAGCCGGCUGAUCAUCGACUCCAUUCCCACCCAUUCGUCAUGAAUCCGCUUCCAUGAUCGGUGCCUCAACGCUCUUCUACCACAGAUUCCAUCGUCGCACACAACAAAUUGUAGAAUCCGGUUCGAUUCUAUAAGCCCUACAUCCAAAAAUGGUCCCCGUUCCUCGAAUUACCGUUUUCUCAAAAUUAGGGCUUUCGUUUUUAGUAGUCGUUAGUUUCUUUAGCAACUCUUUCAUCUUGAUCCCAAAAUCUACUCUCUCUCAUCUCUGAUAUCAUUAAAAUGAGAUACGUGUUUCUUAUUUCAGUGAUAAAAAGAUUGAAGGAGAUGAAGGUUUGUGUUUAAGAGGCUAAUUGAUUGCUGAAAGAGUAGAUUCCAAGGCUACUAACGAUGAAUCUGAACAAAUUGACAAAAAGAUUUGCCUUUUUCAUACUCAUUGUAUAUUUGAAUCUGUUUUCUUAUAGUCAAAUAUGUUAGUGUGUAUGUGUGUGUUUCAAUAGUGAGUUUUUGAUUGCUAAUUCUUUUGUUAGAUUCUCAAACAUCACCAUUUUGACUAUGUUCUUUGUUUUUUAAAGCUAGCCGAGAUCAAUUAUUCUUUUACUCUUAUCUCUUGAAUUUUUGUGUUCUUUGUGAUUAAGCAAGUUUCACUUAUGAUUUGUAUAAUUGAAAGACUCCUGCAGGUGAAUAAGGGAUGGAAGGGGACCGUAUGUAAAAAACUCAUACCUAAUUUACAUCAUUAUUGUUUUUUCUUUGUUCUUAUGUUCUGCUAAGAGUUCAUAUUACAGCUAAUUUUAUUAUUUGAUUUACAUAUUUAUUUACUUAUUUUUAAAUGUUUGAAUUGAAAGGAUGAAGUUGAAAAAUGGUUGGAUAAAAUAAUCGUUGGUUUAUGAUAAAAAGAUUUUUCCCUGUUUUUAAACUAUCAUAUAACCUUUUUUGUUUUAAUAUUCCUUUUUAUCACAAACAGUAAUGUCUAAGUAUUUUUUUAAAAUUGGUAAAAUAGUGAUGCAUGUGUGUCUUUAAUGAGAAAAACUUAGCAGACUUAUUCUAUAAAUUAUAGAAUUGCACUUUGAUGAGUUUUUUUUAUUGUUAUCAUGGCUUUGUUGGAGUAAAAGAGUUGAUCUUGACAGAUAUGAGAAAUUUUUUUGGAGUGAUGGUAAUAUAUAGACUAGAAGCUUCCUUCUAAAAGAUGUUGAAGGGUUAGAAUGGGAAAAAAUAGCUGUUAUGGUUUAUUAGAACCUUUUAUUUUUAUUGAUGAUUAAUUAUAUGCUACUGGAUGUAUUUUCAGUAUGGAUUGAAAUUAGAAUUGUUGAGUAUGGCUUCCACCUCAUGAAUUUGGUUGUAAAUGGAGGUAACAUUUUAAUGGAUCUAUUGAAACCCAUUUUAUUUGAACAUUACUAGCCAUUAAAAUAUAUUUCACUUUUUAUUUUCCAAUGCAUGCCAUGGUUUCUGGAUUUGAUAUGUAAUUGUUCAAUUUGCAUCCCAACUUGACUAUCAAUUAUUCUUAUUAGGUUUACAUCUGGAUGCUGUUGGAACAAUUGUAUGUGUUUCUAGGACUCAUAUCCAUGCAUUGAAUUGCAAAACCAUGGUUCGGGUAUGCUGAAAUGACUUGCAAAACCAAGGUUUAAGGCUGGUCGAGGCACAAUUACAAAAGCCAUGAUCCCGAUCUCACCAUCAUUCUAAACGAUUACAUUGUUGACCAGGAAGUUGAAAAUGUACCCUAUGUAAUGGAAAAUGGAUGUGGGAAAUUUUCAAAGUCACCAAAGGAGAUUGCAGAAAUUGUUGGUCAAUGGUUUGGACCUAAAGCACAUGAACACAAGACUAUGAUAGUGAUUGAUCUGAAUUAAACCAUCACAGAUCAAUGACAAACAUCGAAUAUUAAAACACAGCAUAAAUUCAAUCCUGGUACAUAUUUGUUUGUUUCUGAGAAUUUUUUUUAAGAAGGCUCAAAAACGAUAGAAGAACAAGGAUAAGAUGAGCAACAUACCCACAGUGUGUAAAUGAGGCUAAUUUUCGGUGUCAUUUUCGUGUUAUACUUUGCUUUUUUCUUUGUUUUCAAAUGAUUCCUUAUUUAAUCAUGAUACUUAAAUUCUGAAUGUGUUUUUGUUUAUCUGUGUAGCUUUAAGAAUCCAACAUAUGUGUUUUAAAAAGAGAAUAGAUCUCAGUUUACUUCUA